GUCUGGUUACCUUCUUCUUCUUCUUCUUCUUCUUUUUUAAAUACUUAUUUUAUAAUUUAUUUCUGCACCUUCUAUUUCUCACACAUAGCGCUUCUGUGCGGCUGCGGGAGCUGCUGAGCAAAGCCUCUGCUCCUGGGUCAGCUAAGAGUCACCCGAGACAAUUCCUGUAGCGAUUUGUGACCCGUUCUUCUACAUCUGAAACACAAAUGUGCCGAAAAAAUUGUGGUUUGGUGGUUUAGCUGUUACUAGAGGGAAUCUGGUGGCCACGAAGUUACUGCACAGAGGUCCAGGUGAAUUAAAGAAGAGGAGAGAAAGGAAGGAAAGGAAAAAGUAGGGAACGAUUAAACGGCAUAAAUAAAUAAAUAACACCCACCAGAUUUCAGCUCCCAGGCGCUCAAUAAAAUUACACUUUGAAAUGCAAGGAUUAAGCAGGCAUUGCUGGGGUUUGAGCUGGCUGUGGGUGGAAGGACCGAGCCUGGAAGGAAACCCCGUGUGAAAUCCCCAGCCUGCUUUGCAGAUGUUGGGCUGCUUCUGGGUGAGAUUUUAGCUUUUGCAGAUGUCUGAAACGCUCCCGGUGGGCUUGGUGCCUCGCUGCAGUAAACACAGGCAGGGGGAGCUGGAAGAAGUGGGGAGAGCCGUGAUGUCUUCCAGGAGCUGUCUCAGGAGAGGGACUGGACCAGCCUGAAGGCCACCAGAGCCAAAGCCCAGCAGCACAGCUUGGGACACAAGCAUCCCACACGCGGGACUAUUUUGAUGGAGCCGGAGAAGUGAUGACACAAAUAGCUGAUGACACAAAUAGUUCUGCUGGCGGAGCAGCAGAGGUGGCAACCUCUGGAUGGGAGCCAUGAGCAGCAGCUGCAGACAGGCACCUCUUCAUGGAGCUGGAACAGGAUGCACAGCCCAGGGCUCCUGUCACCAUCCCACCAGUAUCACCAGGAAAGCUGUGACCCGGAUGAGCCGUUCAGUCUCCUUCCUGCACAAUAGUUCUGCCUUCUGCCAGCUCUUGCCCUGAAAAGCUGCAGGUUCAUCUGCUCAGCCCGACUCAAACAUGCACCAUCAACAGCUGGGCACCCCUACACUCCUGCAGUGUUAGGUCAGGCCCCACACUCCUGAGGUUCCAGGAGGUAAAAGUCAUUCAUUCUCAUCUCCAGGUUGGCGGGCUGAGCCAAAUUUUGACCACUGAGCCAUUGCUGUUGCUGGUUUGAAGAUCUUGGCUGGUCCUCGCAGAGCCAUGUGAUUUAAUAGUGGUAAAAGCAACUGUUGCAUGAAAAAUUGAAGCACCCUAUGCCACGCCGAAUGCUGAACGUUGCUGCCAUUUGGGAUAAUACUGGGAAAAGAGUGAACUGAUCGGUCACGUCCUGAAAGAUGGUCUACUUCUCAGUGAGACUUUGUGCCAGAUGGCAUCUGGGGCUGAGCGUCUUGGCAUCUUUCAGCCAAAGGAAUUGCUCCGCGCUUCACCUUCAAGCCUGUGCUUGUGCCACAGCUUUGGCAAUGUUUUCUGCUCAAAGCUCCGUUAUCUAGAAUGGCAGUGAAACCAUGGAGCCCAAAAGGGAGAAGCAUCCCAUCAUCUGCCUAGAAUACCUUUGCUGAGCUCCUGGGUGGAAAAAAAAAAAGGAGGAUUUACCUGAGUCCAGCCCGUCUGCAUGUGGGUCGGAACGUGUGUGUAUCCCAUUAACUCUGUCCUCGCUGCUCUCAAGAUGUCCCGCACAAAUGAUUUUAUUUUUUUUUUCGUAAGAAAAUAUAUUUUACUAGGCAGUUUUAUGAGAGCUGACAAAAUGCCUCAUAAAUAACCCAGCAGGAAAUAUGGGGUAAAUAAAAUUUUUACAACUUUAUCA
ensembl:lncRNA